CCUACGGGAGGCUGCAGUGAGGAAUAUUGGUCAAUGGGCGGGAGCCUGAACCAGCCAAGUCGCGUGAGGGACGACGGUCCUAUGGAUUGUAAACCUCUUUUGUCGGGGAACAAAGGCGUCCACGGGUGGGCGGAUGAGUGUACCCGAAGAAAAAGCAUCGGCUAACUCCGUGCCAGCAGCCGCGGUAAUACGGAGGUCCGGGCGUUAUCCGGAUUUAUUGGGUUUAAAGGGAGCGUAGGCCGGCUUUUAAGUCAGCUGUGAAAGUCCGCGGCUCAACCGUGGAAUUGCAGUUGAAACUGGAGGCCUUGAGUGCACACAGGGAUGCCGGAAUUCAUGGUGUAGCGGUGAAAUGCUUAGAUAUCAUGAAGAACUCCGAUCGCGAAGGCAAGUGUCCGGGGUGCAACUGACGCUGAGGCUCGAAAGUGCGGGUAUCAAACAGGAUUAGAUACCCUUGUAGUC
rnacentral:rRNA from 1 species